rnacentral:rRNA from 1 species
GAUGAACGCUGGCGGCGUGCUUAACACAUGCAAGUCGAACGAGAAGUGAAGACGGAAACCUUCGGGCGGAAGGCUUUAUUUCGAGUGGCGGACGGGUGAGUAACGCGUGGGUAACCUGCCUCAUACAGGGGGAUAACAGUUGGAAACGACUGUUAAUACCGCAUAAGACCACAGCACCGCAUGGUGCGGGGGUAAAAACUCCGGUGGUAUGAGAUGGACCCGCGUUCGAUUAGCCAGUUGGCGGGGUAACGGCCCACCAAAGCGACGAUCGAUAGCCGAUCUGAGAGGAUGACCGGCAACAUUAGGAGUGAGACACAGCCCGAACUCCUACGGGAGGCAGCAGUGGGGAAUAUUGCACAAUGGGGGAAACCCUGAAGCAGCGACGCCGCGUGAGUGAAGAAGUAUUUCGGUAUGUAAAGCUCUAUCAGCAGGGAAGAAAAUGACGGUACCUGAGAAAGAAGCCCCGGCUAACUACGUG